UACGAAGGGGGCUAGCGUUGCUCGGAAUCACUGGGCGUAAAGCGCACGUAGGCGGGUCCUUAAUUCAGGGGUGAAAUCCCGGAGCUCAACUCCGGAACUGCCUUUGAUACUGGGGAUCUUGAGUCCGGAAGAGGUGAGUGGAACUCCGAGUGUAGAGGUGAAAUUCGUAGAUAUUCGGAAGAACACCAGUGGCGAAGGCGGCUCACUGGUCCGGUACUGACGCUGAGGUGCGAAAGCGUGGGGAGCAAACAGG
rnacentral:rRNA from 1 species